ensembl:misc_RNA Y_RNA Y RNA
GGUUGGUUUGAAGGUAGUUAUCUCAGUUGAUUGUUCACAAACAGUUAUAGAUAGAAUUCCUUGUUCUACUCUUUCCCCUCUUCUCACUAUUGCACUUGACUAGUAAAA